AUACUUACCUGAACAGGAUCACUAGAUGAUCAAGAAGGCUUAUGGUUUAGGACAGUGACUUUCAUUGCACUUGAGGAGGUGCUGUUCUGAGGUCUGCCCAAGUGGCAGAGCCUACGUCAUAAUUUGUGGCAGAGGAAGCUGCGUUUGCGCGGCCCUUGC